rnacentral:rRNA from 1 species
UACGUAGGGACCAAGCGUUGUUCGGAUUUACUGGGCGUAAAGGGCGCGUAGGCGGCGUGUUAAGUCAGCUGUGAAAUCUCCGAGCUUAACUCGGAACGGUCAGCUGAUACUGAUGUGCUAGAGUGCAGAAGGGGCAAUCGGAAUUCUUGGUGUAGCGGUGAAAUGCGUAGAUAUCAAGAGGAACACCUGAGGUGAAGACGGGUUGCUGGGCUGACACUGACGCUGAUGCGCGAAAGCCCAGGGGAGCAAACGGG